CGAAAGUUGCGCUUUUCUUAGUUCGAAAGGACCAGAAAAGCAGUACCAAUUUUUCAAAAAAAGUACUAAAAAAAAGUUUUGAAAAAAAAAUGAAAAUUUUCACUAAAAAAUUUUACUUUU
rnacentral:rRNA from 1 species